GAUGAAGAACGCAGCGAAAUGCGAUAAGUAAUGUGAAUUGCAGAAUUCAGUGAAUCAUCGAAUCUUUGAACGCACCUUGCACCCUUUGGCAUUCUGAAGGGUAUGCUCGUUUGAGUGUCAUUGUACUCUCACACUCCCGAUCUUUGCAUUGGGAGCAGUGGACUUGGGUUUGCUGCUUCACCGUCGCUUACCUCAAAUAGGUUAGUGCAACUCUUGGUUGGACAUAGUACGGCGUGAUAAGUGUUCUUCGCCGGUGCCUCGCAAAGAGGGUGGCCGAUCGGGAUGUAUGUGCUCCAAACCGUCUUCGGACAAUCUCUGACGACUUGACCUCAAAUCGAGUAAGACUACCCGCUGAACUUAAGCAUAUCAAUAAGCGGAGGA
rnacentral:misc_RNA from 1 species